rnacentral:rRNA from 1 species
UACGGGAGGCAGCAGUGGGGAAUAUUGCACAAUGGGCGCAAGCCUGAUGCAGCCAUGCCGCGUGUAUGAAGAAGGCCUUCGGGUUGUAAAGUACUUUCAGUCGUGAGGAAGGUGUUAAGGUUAAUAACCUUAGCAAUUGACGUUAGCGACAGAAGAAGCACCGGCUAACUCCGUGCCAGCAGCCGCGGUAAUACGGAGGGUGCGAGCGUUAAUCGGAAUUACUGGGCGUAAAGGGCACGCAGGCGGUUAAUUAAGUUGGAUGUGAAAUCCCCGGGCUUAACCUGGGAAUGGCAUUCAAGACUGGUUAGCUAGAGUCUUGUAGAGGGGGUAGAAUUCCAUGUGUAGCGGUGAAAUGCGUAGAGAUGUGGAGGAAUACCGGUGGCGAAGGCGGCCCCUGGGCAAAGGCUGACGCUCAUGUGCGAAAGCGUGGGGAGCGAAACAGGGAUUAGAUACC